AUUGAACGCUGGCGGCAUGCCUUACACAUGCAAGUCGAACGGCAGCACGGGAGCAAUCCUGGUGGCGAGUGGCGAACGGGUGAGUAAUAUAUCGGAACGUGCCCAGUCGUGGGGAUAACGUAGCGAAAGCUACGCUAAUACCGCAUACGAUCUAUGGAUGAAAGCGGGGGAUCGCAAGACCUCGCGCGAUUGGAGCGGCUGAUAUCAGAUUAGGUUGUUGGUGAGGUAAAAGCUCACCAAGCCGACGAUCUGUAGCUGGUUUGAGAGAACGACCAGCCACACUGGGACUGAGACACGGCCCAGACUCCUACGGGAGGCAGCAGUGGGGAAUUUUGGACAAUGGGCGAAAGCCUGAUCCAGCAAUGCCGCGUGCAGGAAGAAGGCCUUCGGGUU
rnacentral:rRNA from 1 species